GACGAACGCUGGCGGCGUGCCUAAUACAUGCAAGUCGAACGCUUUGAUUUUCACCGGAGCUUGCUCCACCGAAAAUCAAAGAGUGGCGGACGGGUGAGUAACACGUGGGCAACCUGCCCAACAGAGGGGGAUAACACUUGGAAACAGGUGCUAAUACCGCAUAAUUUGUUUUUCCGCAUGGAAGAAUAAUAAAAGACGCUUCGGUGUCACUGUUGGAUGGGCCCGCGCUGCAUUAGUUAGUUGGUGGGGUAACGGCCUACCAAGACCAUGAUGCAUAGCCGACCUGAGAGGGUGAUCGGCCACACUGGGACUGAGACACGGCCCAGACUCCUACGGGAGGCAGCAGUAGGGAAUCUUCGGCAAUGGACGAAAGUCUGACCGAGCAACGCCGCGUGAGUGAAGAAGGUUUUCGGAUCGUAAAACUCUGUUGUUAGAGAAGAACAAGUGAGAGAGUUACUGUUCUCACCUUGACGGUAUCUAACCAGAAAGCCACGGCUAACUACGUGCCAGCAGCCGCGGUAAUACGUAGGUGGCAAGCGUUGUCCGGAUUUAUUGGGCGUAAAGCGAGCGCAGGCGGUUUCUUAAGUCUGAUGUGAAAGCCCUCGGCUCAACCGAGGAAGGUCAUUGGAAACUGGGGAACUUGAGUGCAGAAGAGGAGAGUGGAAUUCCAUGUGUAGCGGUGAAAUGCGUAGAUAUAUGGAGGAACACCAGUGGCGAAGGCGACUCUCUGGUCUGUAACUGACGCUGAGGCUCGAAGGCGUGGGGAGCGAACAGG
rnacentral:rRNA from 1 species